UACGGGGGGGGCAAGCGUUGUUCGGAAUUACUGGGCGUAAAGGGCUCGUAGGCGGCCAACUAAGUCCGACGUGAAAUCCCCAGCUUAACCUGGGAACUGCGUCGGAUACUGGAUGGCUUGAAUCCGGGAGAGGGAUGCGGAAUUCCAGGUGUAGCGGUGAAAUGCGUAGAUAUCUGGAGGAACACCGGUGGCGAAGGCGGCAUCCUGGACCGGCAUUGACGCUGAGGAGCGAAAGCCAGGGGAGCAAACGGG
rnacentral:rRNA from 1 species